GACGAACGCUGGCGGCGUGCUUAACACAUGCAAGUCGAACGGAAAGGCCCUGCUUGCAGGGUACUCGAGUGGCGAACGGGUGAGUAACACGUGGGUGAUCUGCCCUGCACUUCGGGAUAAGCCUGGGAAACUGGGUCUAAUACCGGAUAGGAGCCAUUUUUAGUGUGAUGGUUGGAAAGUUUUUUCGGUGUAGGAUGAGCUCGCGGCCUAUCAGCUUGUUGGUGGGGUAAUGGCCUACCAAGGCGGCGACGGGUAGCCGGCCUGAGAGGGUGGACGGCCACAUUGGGACUGAGAUACGGCCCAGACUCCGACGGGAGGAAGCAGUGGGGAAGAUUGCACAAGGGGCGCAAGCCUGAUGCAGCGACGCCGCGGGGGGGAGGACGGCCUUCGGGUUGUAAACUCCUUUCGCUAGGGACGAAGCUUUUUGUGACGGUACCUAGAUAAGAAGCACCGGCUAACUACGUG
rnacentral:rRNA from 1 species